GUUUUUUCAUAAGUUAAGUCACUUUUAUUUUGCACUGUGGCAUUACUACAAGUUUUAUUUGGGCAAUUAGUUCCUUAUACUAAUAUGCUCUGUCAUAGACCUUAAAUAACUUUUAAAUGCAUAAAAGUAUAUUAUAAGGUAUAAAUACCAUCAGCCCGGUGUUGUCUUCACAAGCAGGGUUAGGGUUAUUUAUGAUAAAAGUAUUUCAUCCAGGACUUAUAGAUUAGAUUACUUUGGAUUUAUAUUUUAUUUUGGAUUAAUAUUUUACUUUGGACUUUCCAUCUUAUUCAUAUUAUGGGCAUUUAAUUAAGGGUUACAUACAUACUAUUCUGAAUAUUGUAUUUACUCACUGUUUAUCAUUUUAAUUUUAUUCUAUAUUCAUUGUAUUUUAGCUCCUGGAUACCCACACUAUAUUUUAUGGUGUACUAUAUUUACAUACUGUAUAAUUACCUUUAUAACAUAAAUAAAUUGAAUUCAUUCACAAACAUCUAAA